rnacentral:rRNA from 1 species
UACGGCCGCAAGGUUAAAACUCAAAUGAAUUGACGGGGGCCCGCACAAGCGGUGGAGCAUGUGGUUUAAUUCGAUGCAACGCGAAGAACCUUACCUGGUCUUGACAUCCACGGAAGUUUUCAGAGAUGAGAAUGUGCCUUCGGGAACCGUGAGACAGGUGCUGCAUGGCUGUCGUCAGCUCGUGUUGUGAAAUGUUGGGUUAAGUCCCGCAACGAGCGCAACCCUUAUCCUUUGUUGCCAGCGGUCCGGCCGGGAACUCAAAGGAGACUGCCAGUGAUAAACUGGAGGAAGGUGGGGAUGACGUCAAGUCAUCAUGGCCCUUACGACCAGGGCUACACACGUGCUACAAUGGCGCAUACAAAGAGAAGCGACCUCGCGAGAGCAAGCGGACCUCAUAAAGUGCGUCGUAGUCCGGAUUGGAGUCUGCAACUCGACUCCAUGAAGUCGGAAUCGCUAGUAAUCGUGGAUCAGAAUGCCACGGUGAAUACGUUCCCGGGCCUUGUACACACCGCCCGUCACACCAUGGGAGUGGGUUGCAAAAGAAGUAGGUAGCUUAACCUUCGGGAGGGCGCUUACCACUUUGUGAUUCAUGACUGGGGUGAAGUCGUAACAAGGUAACCGUAGGGGAACCUGCGGUUGGAUCACCUCCUUA